GGUCGUCGGCGAACUGUUUGGCCGCCUCCUGCGCGGCCGCGAGUCGCGUGGGUGCGACGUCCGUGGCCUCCA
rnacentral:tRNA from 1 species